ensembl:lncRNA
CUUAGGACAGAAAGGAAAAUGCGGGUGACAGAAAGCCAGGUAAGAAGGACAGGCACAAUUCUGAGUGCAUUUGGCAAAAAAUUUGAAAAGAAUUUUAGUUAUCUCUACUGGCCGUCACAUUCAUUCAUACAACAGUACUUGUGAUAGUUCUCACCUGAACAUUUUAGUCUUCUAUAGCCACUUUUCUUUCUUCAUAGAAUUCUUCAAGGAUGCCUGCUUUGUCCUUCAGCUGUUUGACUUUUGCUUCUUUGGUUGCUUUCACAGACCUCAAUGCAUUACACUUGUCUUCCAGGGCCUUUUUAUUUUCUGUACAAACAUGGAUUUGCUUUCUAAGUGUGCACAUGACCUGAGACUUGUUUUUGGUGAGAUAGGAAAAGGGCAAGAACCGUGAAGGCAGGAAGGCCCUCUUUCCCUUACCAAUGCAAAGUCAUUGUCACCAAUAUGGGGAUUUCUCCCCAACAGACAGCAUACUUUCCAGUUGACAGUUAUUGGACCUCAAGACUCUCAACUCUACAUGCUCGAAUUCACCAUUUUCAUCUUGCGUUUUUAAGACAGAUAUGAGAAAAACACUUUCCAUAAGUAAUGAUUGCACAAAAAUUUGAGUGCACCUAACAGAACAGGAUUGUGCAUUGCAAUAAACAAAGACCUUGAGGCAUAAAUAUAACUAGGAGAAGAUAAAGAUGGUGGGAAAUAGUUCAUGUCAGAUAGCUUAUAAAUGGUUUUCUUGUUGGGAUAUAUAUAUAUAUAUAUUUAUAUACAUCUGUAUAUGUGUGUGUGUGCAUACACACACACAAACACACACUUCUUCCCCAUUCACGUUGAAAAUUCACUGUUCAGCAUUAAGAGAGAAAGAGACUAUGGAGCACCUGGGUGGCUCGCUCAGUUGAGCAUCAGACUCUUGAUUUGGGGUCAGGUCAUGAUUCUAGGAUCGUGCGAUCCAGACCUGUGUUGGGCUCCACACUGAGCGUGGAUCCUGCUUAAGAUUCUCUCUCUUUCCCUCUGCCCCUCUCGCAUGCCCUCUCUCACUAAAAAAAAAAAAAAAAAAAAAAAAAAAAAAAAAAAAAAAAAAAAAAAAAAAAAACAAAACCAUCCUUUAGUCUCGAUUUGAGCCACUCACACCCCCAGGUGCUAUUUGGAAUUCCACACAAAGAAAGUUCAAACUGCUGCUGACUGACUACUCAAAGGCCUUGGAUGACUUUCUGCUGCUCACAGAUUGCCUUUCAUGAACCCUAGGCCAGGGGCCCUGGAGGACAAGGUCUUUGGAAUCAAACAUACGGCUACCAUCUCAGCUUUACACUUAGUGGCUGGAGGAUCUGGAUUAAUGGCAAUUCCAAGAAGACAAACUUUUUUCAUCCCGACAUGCGAGUAUUACCCUCCAACCUUAAAGGAAUAUUAUUCAACACACACGAAGCACCCAAUUACAGGUGGAUAGCACACGUAAGCUCUAGAACAGACUCCUCCAACAGGGAUUAAUUCUCUCAUCUGACCACAGAGUGCAAACUUCUAUUGGCCGGCCCACUGUGAGAGCUCUCAUGCCCUGAGAUCACUCUUCUCCCCACCACCGCCACUGCAUUCAAAAGGAUGAACACCAGCCUUUGAGGGCUCGUUAAGUGUCGGGCAGCCACCCUGGCUCUCAACAGACAGCACCACAGCAUCACCACAGUCUAUGGAGCCCAUGCAGAGUACAUUUCCCCCAUUUGUGUCACAUUCACUUCUCAUUCUCCCCUGGCAUGGACGGCUCCCUGCACCUCAGACUCAAAACCUUGGUUUAAACCUCUCUUGUGACACACACCCUGCCUGGCAAUAUCUGGCUUCUUCUCUAAGCUUAGGCUUCUUGAUGGGCUUGUAGAUAGAGAGUUUUCUCAUCUUCACAUUUCACGAAGAGCCAGGUCAUGGCAAAGUGCUCACUCCACACCUCAGGCUCAUAUCAUCACGUGUUUCCUAACCAUUUCUAUGUAAAAUUA